rnacentral:rRNA from 1 species
UACGUAGGGGGCUAGCGUUAUCCGGAAUUACUGGGCGUAAAGGGUGCGUAGGUGGUCUCUUAAGUCAGAGGUGAAAGGCUACGGCUCAACCGUAGUAAGCCUUUGAAACUGGGAAACUUGAGUGCAGGAGAGGAGAGUGGAAUUCCUAGUGUAGCGGUGAAAUGCGUAGAUAUUAGGAGGAACACCAGUUGCGAAGGCGGCUCUCUGGACUGUAACUGACACUGAGGCACGAAAGCGUGGGGAGCAAACAGG